rnacentral:rRNA from 1 species
GCUGGGUGGAUUAGUGGCGAACGGGUGAGUAACACGUGAGUAACCUGCCCUUAACUCUGGGAUAAGCCUGGGAAACUGGGUCUAAUACCGGAUAGGAGCGCCUACCGCAUGGUGGGUGUUGGAAAGAUUUAUCGGUUUUGGAUGGACUCGCGGCCUAUCAGCUUGUUGGUGAGGUAAUGGCUCACCAAGGCGACGACGGGUAGCCGGCCUGAGAGGGUGACCGGCCACACUGGGACUGAGACACGGCCCAGACUCCUACGGGAGGCAGCAGUGGGGAAUAUUGCACAAUGGGCGAAAGCCUGAUGCAGCGACGCCGCGUGAGGGAUGACGGCCUUCGGGUUGUAAACCUCUUUCAGUAGGGAAGAAGCGAAAGUGACGGUACCUGCAGAAGAAGCACCGGCUAACUACGUGCCAGCAGCCGCGGUAAUACGUAGGGUGCGAGCGUUAUCCGGAAUUAUUGGGCGUAAAGAGCUCGUAGGCGGUUUGUCGCGUCUGUCGUGAAAGUCCGGGGCUUAACCCCGGAUCUGCGGUGGGUACGGGCAGACUAGAGUGC